AGAGUUUGAUCAUGGCUCAGGAUGAACGCUAGCGGCAGGCCUAACACAUGCAAGUCGAGGGGUAUUCAGUUUUCGGACUGGAGAGACCGGCGCACGGGUGCGUAACGCGUAUGCAAUCUACCUUUUACAGGGGAAUAGCCCAGAGAAAUUUGGAUUAAUGCCCCAUAGUAUAUAAACUUCGCAUGUUGUUUAUAUUAAAGUUCCAACGGUAAAAGAUGAGCAUGCGUCCCAUUAGUUAGUUGGUAAGGUAACGGCUUACCAAGACGAUGAUGGGUAGGGGUCCUGAGAGGGAGAUCCCCCACACUGGUACUGAGACACGGACCAGACUCCUACGGGAGGCAGCAGUGAGGAAUAUUGGACAAUGGGCGCAAGCCUGAUCCAGCCAUGCCGCGUGCAGGAAGAAGCAUCUAUGGUGUGUAAACUGCUUUUGUACAGGAAGAAACACUCCCUCGUGAGGGAGCUUGACGGUACUGUAAGAAUAAGGAUCGGCUAACUCCGUGCCAGCAGCCGCGGUAAUACGGAGGAUCCAAGCGUUAUUCGGAAUCAUUGGGUUUAAAGGGUCCGUAGGCGGUCUAAUAAGUCAGUGGUGAAAGCCCAUCGCUCAACGAUGGAACGGCCAUUGAUACUGUUAGACUUGAAUUACUGGGAAGU
rnacentral:rRNA from 1 species